rnacentral:lncRNA from 1 species
AUGUUUGCAUUGAGCUAAGAUUGCAGGCGCGUGAACUGUUCACACCACCAAAAAUGUAUCUUUAGCCAAAUCUGAAUUAAUCUGUUCAGAAUGAACAAGCAGAAUAGUCUUUGGAUUUGAUCCAAAUCCCUGAAGCACUUUGGGAAUGAGAAUGGCUAUGCCAGACAGAGAGACCCUGGCGACUUAUGAUACUGCAGAACACAACAGGCACUUCAGAUUGGUCCCAGUCCUCUACGUACUGAUAUAUAUAUAGAUGCCUAAACCAAAUGGACCUCAUUUCCUUUAAAAUUCUGAUAUCCAAAAUAAGCAGCACCAGUUAAGUUGAGGGAGAGCAGUGAUAUUGAGCAGUCAGCUAAAGAAACAAAGCUGUAGAGAAUUGUGACUCCAAAGGCAAAGAAGGAAGUGCUCCUAAUUUGAACUAAUCUAAUAGUCACAUGGAGGAUUCUGACUGGCCCAUGUGGGGCCUUGUGCUCAUGUUCUAAGGAAUCAUUGUUGCUUGAAGCAUGGACAACUCUGGCCUGACAUGGUCCCUGGCUCGUACCUGUGACAGGACACUGAGGCAAAAGAAAGCAGUAUAGAGAUUUAUUCUCCCACUGGCAUGAAAGCUGUGAUUCUGACCACCUUCUACAUCACUGUCUACCACCCCUACACCAGCUCUUAGAAGACAGAGUAACUACAGGAUGCUGUGGUACCUGGAGUGAUGCCAGACUGCAGAGGCCACCUGGUGACAUGAGGAGAGAUUCAACUUAACAUGGUGAGGAUGGCAGAGUAGAGCUAAAGUGGAAAAAGCAUUUCCCUGAUGAAUUUAAGAAGCUACUGAAUAAAUAUGUCUGGAAGUACCU